UACGUAGGGUGCGAGCGUUAAUCGGAAUUACUGGGCGUAAAGCGUGCGCAGGCGGUUUUGUAAGCCAGGUGUGAAAUCCCCGGGCUCAACCUGGGAAUGGCAUUUGGGACUGCAAGGCUGGAGUGCGGCAGAGGAGACUGGAAUUCCUGGUGUAGCAGUGAAAUGCGUAGAUAUCAGGAGGAAUACCGAUGGCGAAGGCAGGUCUCUGGGCUGACGCUGACGCUCAUGCACGAAAGCGUGGGGAGCAAACAGG
rnacentral:rRNA from 1 species